ensembl:lncRNA
UCGGCCUCAUCUUAGCCCACAGCAAUGGAAUCAGCCUACUGUGGACUGAAACAUCUGAAACCAUGAGCCAAAAUGAAUCUUCCCUUACUUAAGUUGACUUUUUCAAUUAUUUCUCACAAUGACAAAAAGUUAUCUUUUUUUUUAAUCUCACAGAAACCACGUGAGCUAAAUAGUAGUUGCCCAUUGGAUGGACGAGUGAGGCAGGCUCACUCAUGUUGGAUCACCUUCGCAAGGUGUUCUGCAGGUAGAUGGCAGAACCAGACUUGAAGCAACACACCCUUCCUGUUUCAUCACAUCUCUCACAGCUUAAACUCCAGAGCAAUCACCAGGAAUCAGUAUACAGCAUGGAAGAAGAUGGCCCCGGAAGGAACUCAACAUUGUGCUAAUCCUAAAACUGGAUAAAGAUAAUAGAAGAAGGCAGACAGGCAGGUCUGCCCAUGCCCUACUGAGGUCCCAAGUGGCACAGAACAUGCUGAAUCACCCCGCUGCAGACAGGCAGCCACCUACUUCCACACUACAAAGAUGCAGAGGACACCAGACCACCAGACCAAGGCUUGCACUGUGGGAAGUUUCUACUGACCUAUCUUCAAAUUCUCCUGGUUGUUUUCUUAGCCAACUCUACUCUGUUGAUGAAACCAUUGAAGAUGCUCUUCAUUUUGGUUACUAAGGUUUGAAUUCUUUUGAUCAUUUCAUAUAGUUUUGAUCUCUUGAGUGACACUACCCAUCUGUCUUGCAUGCUGUCUGGCUUUUCCAUUAGAGCUUUCCAGAUAUUAAUCAUAUCCCCUACAUUUGCCUCAUCUGACUUUGUCUCUGGUGAUCACUCUGUCUUUUAGAUUGUGUUUUAUCUUACCUUUUGGCAUGCUUUAUAAUUUUUGUUGAAACCAGACAUGAUGUACCAAUGAUAAGUACUUAAAAAAGGCUUUUACUGUGAGGAUUUACACUAAUUGGACUAAUGUUCAAUAUUAGUGGUAGCUACUGGAGCCAGGGACUCCUAAUUAUACCAAAGCCUUUUUUCUCUUGGGUCUUCUCAUCUCAGAGUGGCUUCCUUUUAACUAGAA